UGUUUACUUCUUGAAAACGUCAAAACAAACAAACAAAGUAUAUUUGUAAAUAUAAAAUUUUUAAUCUUUGCUUUCUCGGCCAGUACUCUCGCGAACAUCCCAUCUUUCCGCGUAUAAAUGUACCGUUGGAAGAUGCUUCUAGUUCCUGUAUAAGGAGUGAAGACAACAGGGGAGAAUGUACCAGCAGCUCGGAUUGAG